UUUCUAGUGAUGCAUCAAAAGGGAACCAAUUCCUAAAGAUGCCACCAUCAGACACAAGUGGUUGGAAUUCCCGAUUCCCAACCAGCAAAAGAAAGACAUUUUCAUCUGUCAAGGCCAUUUCCCACUGGACUGUUUAGUGAACAUGGGCCGCUAUGUAGCUGGACUAGCACACAAACUUGCUGAAGCUCUACGCCUUUCCAAUGUUACUUGGUGGUGUGGAAGAGUCAGAAGGGCCAGCAGGGCCUUUGGGCUGCCUGCUACAACAAAGAAGGGGAAAAAGCAAAAGGAGGAGAAUACUGCGGCCAUCUAGGGGCUGGGGAAAAAGCUUACAGCCUUCCCCUGAUGCUUGCUGGAGUGGAAGUCCUACAGUGGCAAAUCUAAACCCAAUCCUCGGAACUCAUUUUCUCUGCGUCGGCUGCUGAAGCUGGGGCACAGAGACAAGAUGUCCAUCCUUAAAACUAGUCGAUCCAGCUUAAGACCAAGCAUACUAAAACUGGAGUCUCGGGUGGGUCAAUAGGUGGGUCAAGGACAGAGUGUACACCCAAGGCAGUCUAUGAACAGGAGACUGGACAGUCCCACACAUGCAGGCUGGGGUUAUUUUCUUACAGCUGCAUACGCCCUGAACUCAGCAUUGACUGGCGUGUCAUCUCUACUAAAUCAUCUGUCACAAGUCUGGAUUGUGCAGCGCUGCCUGAUGUGCACAGUCACAUGAGUCCGAUCCAUUAGCCACAGUGACAACGGAACACGAGAAAUGCAUACUGUAUUGUCACCGCCACUGGUGAAAACCCCAUACCACUACUCUUUUUAAUGUGCCUUUUCCCAGCAUGGACUGUCCAAAGCACAUAGCCAACAACCAAUAAA